rnacentral:rRNA from 1 species
GAUGAACGCUAGCUACAGGCUUAACACAUGCAAGUCGAGGGGAAACGAUAGAGAAAGCUUGCUUUUUCUAGGCGUCGACCGGCGCACGGGUGAGUAACGCGUAUCCAACCUGCCCAUCACUUGGGGAUAACCUUGCGAAAGUAAGACUAAUACCCAAUGAUAUCUCUAGAAGACAUCUGAAAGAGAUUAAAGAUUUAUCGGUGUACGAUGGGGAUGCGUUCCAUUAGGUAGUAGGCGGGGUAACGGCCCACCAAGGCGACGAUCGGUAGCCGGACUGAGAGGUUGAACGGCCACAUUGGGACUGAGACACGGCCCAGACUCCUACGGGAGGCAGCAGUGGGGAAUAUUGCACAAUGGGGGAAACCCUGAUGCAGCGACGCCGCGUGGAGGAAGAAGGUCUUCGGAUUGUAAACUCCUGUUGUUGAGGAAGAUAGUGACGGUACUCAACAAGGAAGUGACGGCUAACUACGUG